CCCCCCUAGAUCCGCCCCUGGCUUUAUUUUGAUAGUUUUUUUUGCAAGAAACAGAAACAUGGCUUUCUUUUGAAAAAACGGCAGUUCAUCUGUCAUAAAAAAGCGGCUGCAGGGUUUCACUCCAAGUAGGGCAAAGGUGUGGCUGAAAGUGGGAGUGGUCAAUAAGUGGGUGUGGCCAUGACCACACUCACAUGUCUUGCUCUUGAGUUUUAAGACUGUUAAGGCUUCUAUGUCAGCAUUUUGUGAAGAAAUCAAGUUGAAAAAGGCUCUGAAAUUCUCAAUGAAGAGUUACCCUGCCAUUCUUGUGUUCAA